rnacentral:rRNA from 1 species
ACGGAAGGCAGCAGUAGGGAAUCUUCGGCCAUGGGGGCAACCCUGGCCGAGCAACGCCGCGUGAGUGAAGAAGGUUUUCGGAUCGUAAAGCUCUGUUGUAAGAGAAGAACGUGUGUGAGAGUGGAAAGUUCGCACAGUGACGGUAACUUACCAGAAAGGGACGGCUAACUACGUGCCAGCAGCCGCGGUAAUACGUAGGUCCCGAGCGUUGUCCGGAUUUAUCGGGCGUAAAGCGAGCGCAGGCGGUUUAAUAAGUCUGAAGUUAAAGGCAGUGGCUUAACCAUUGUUCGCUUUGGAAACUGUUAGACUUGAGUGCAGAAGGGGAGAGUGGAACUCCAUGUGUAGCGGUGAAAUGCGUAGAUAUAUGGAGGAACACCGGUGGCGAAAGCGGCUCUCUGGUCUGUAACUGACGCUGAGGCUCGAAAGCGUGGGGAGCAAACAGGAUUAGAUACCCUGGUA